rnacentral:rRNA from 1 species
UACAGAGGUCUCAAGCGUUGUUCGGAUUCAUUGGGCGUAAAGGGUGCGUAGGUGGCGCGGUAAGUCGGGUGUGAAAUCUCGGAGCUUAACUCCGAAAUUGCAUUCGAUACUGCCGUGCUUGAGGACUGGAGAGGAGACUGGAAUUCAUGGUGUAGCAGUGAAAUGCGUAGAGAUCAUGAGGAAGACCAGUGGCGAGGGCGGGUCUCUGGACAGUUCCUGACACUGAGGCACGAAGGCCAGGGGAGCAAACGGG